rnacentral:rRNA from 1 species
UACGGAGGGUGCGAGCGUUGUCCGGAAUUAUUGGGCGUAAAGCGCUUGUAGGCGGUCUGUCGCGUCUGCUGUGAAAAUCCGGGGCUCAACCCCGGACUUGCAGUGGGUACGGGCAGACUAGAGUGUGGUAGGGGAGACUGGAAUUCCUGGUGUAGCGGUGAAAUGCGCAGAUAUCGGGAGGAACACCGAUGGCGAAGGCAGGUCUCUGGGCCGCUACUGACGCUGAGAAGCGAAAGCAUGGGGAGCGAACAGG